rnacentral:rRNA from 1 species
AUACGUAGGGGGCGAGCGUUGUCCGGAAUUAUUGGGCGUAAAGGGCGUGUAGGCGGUUAUUUAAGUCAGGUGUGAAACACCACGGCUCAACCGUGGGGUUGCACUUGAAACUGGAGGACUUGAGUGCAGGAGAGGAGAGCGGAAUUCCCGGUGUAGCGGUGAAAUGCGUAGAUAUCGGGAAGAACACCAGUGGCGAAGGCGGCUCUCUGGCCUGUAACUGACGCUGAGGCGCGAAAGCUAGGGUAGCGAACGGGAUUAGAUACCCCGGUAGUCCUAGCCGUAAACGAUGGGUACUAGGUGUGGGAGGUAUCGACCCCUUCUGUGCCGGAGUUAACGCAAUAAGUACCCCGCCUGGGGAGUACGGCCGCAAGGCUGAA